UACGGAGGAUGCAAGCGUUAUCCGGAAUUACUGGGCGUAAAGCGCACGUAGGCGGAUUUGUAAGUCAGGGGUGAAAUCCCGGGGCUCAACCUCGGAACUGCCUUUGAUACUGCAAAUCUCGAGUCCGGAAGAGGUGAGUGGAAUUCCUGGUGUAGCGGUGAAAUGCGCAGAUAUUAGGAAGAACACCGGUGGCGAAGGCGGCCCACUGGAUCGGUACUGACGCUGAGGUGCGAAAGCGUGGGGAGCAAACAGG
rnacentral:rRNA from 1 species